GUUAAAUGUGAAAAGAGCUAAAGAGGCGUGCCUGGCAAGUACAAGCAGGAGAGGACAGACGCAGAGACUACCAGCAAAAGUCUUUCUUGAUGGCAUAGAGGCCACGAAAGCCUCAAAGGACCAGCUGGACCCUCACAAGCUCAAUGUGCUCAAAGAUGUUGUGUGAUAAAGCAGUUUCCAAAUCCCAUAGUGUCUGCAGUCGCAGAAAAUGCAACAAGUCCUACUCAAAGAUAACCGACCCUCCACUCCAAGGAUAAGGAUUGACAUUUUUCAGUUUCAAUUUGGUUCCACCAUUUUUACAGUAUGCUUGUGACGAAGUACCCUCACUAUAGUUGAGUAAGCACUUGGACUGCCAUACCAACGAGUCUGGCUCUUUGGCUUUGCUGUUUAAGUUGUUUGGUACCCUGCAGACCAAUGUUUGAAUCUGGGUAGGGUGACUGGUCUCGCCUUUGGCCACAUAUGGUGUCAGAAGCGGGAUGGCUUGCUGUGGGGUCAUCUGAGCCGUGCCCAGUCAGGACUGUAUGAGGGACCCCCAUGGGUAACAUUAAUGAUGGGAUGUGUAUAGUGUACUUUUCAGUAAUACUGAUCAUAUGUCAUUAUUUUACUGAUUUUAUUUUUAUUUGAAGGUAUUUUGGU